AACAAUUAUGGUGAUGUAUGGGAGAGGUAAGCAAUGUUGCAACUCUCCUUAGUGAGAUAAGCAAUGAUGCAAUGAGUGGUAGGUGAGAUGGGAAUAUUGCAAAUUGAUCCUUCUUGGUAGGUGAGAUUUGCACUUUUGGUCCCUAUCUCAAAACUAUAAAUACCCCCUUCCAUUUCAUUGUAUAACACACCAAAAAAUAUAUCAAAACUCAAGAAGAAAGAGUUUGAGAGGGAGAGAGAUGUAGUUCCUUUAGAAAU
rnacentral:lncRNA from 1 species